UUCCCUGAACAAGUGGCAGACCAGCUUUGAAAACCACUGCUCUAGAGUUGUCCUUUUUGCCUGCCCACUCCCCCAUUUCUAGCUGACAUAGCUAUAUUGGCAAAACUUUUAAGUGCAAACCAGACCUUGGUCAGAAGCUUAAUAUUAUUUGCUUAAUAUUUUGCCUUUAGUUACCAAUAUGCAGUCACCUUCUAGUAAGAGUGACAUUGUCAAAGAGCAAAAGAAUAGGAAGUUCAAAUAUUAAGCGGUUCCCCUUUGUCUGAUUCAAGAUCUUGUCUUAAACAGAAUAAUAGUAUAAACAAAAACAAGGUAGAUCUUUUUAGAGGAGUUUGUCUCGCCAAACUGCUUCAGUCAUGCAGGAUUCCAAUUCUUUGACUAUAGGGUGGGCCAUAAAGCAAACAUCUGUUAAAGAAAUAGGGCUAUUGAAAGAAUACAUUCUCCACGUGUUAAACAAAAACAUAGUGUAAGCAAAAGUAAUAGAGGACUGUUAGAGAAUUUGCCUGUAUGCCGAUAUUCUUUGCCAGGGGAUGUUGUGAAGGCCAAAACUAUGACAGGGUUAAAAAAAAAAACUAGAUAAGUUCCUGGAAGUUAGGUCCAUCAAUGGCUAUUAUGGCUAUGCAUGCCAGGGUGGGCACAGAUGCAACACUAUUCUGAGUGUCCCUAGCCUCUGUUUGCCAGAAGCUGGGAGUGGAUGACAGGGGAUGGAUGACUUGAUAUUGCCUGUUCCGUUCAUUCCCUCUGAAGCUCCUGGCAUGGGCCACUGUUGGAAGACAGGAUACUGGGCUAGAUGGACUAUUGGUCUGACCCAGUAUGACCAUUCAUAUGUUCCAGUGACAGUCUUCAGAGCUCAUUUUUUUUCAGUUAAGUGUAAAAUCCUUAAUAGCAAAGUUUAUAAAGAAAAUUCUGACUCUUUCAUAAUGAUUCUGUUAAGUGCUGUUAUCAAAAGCUGGAUGCAUGAUAUUCUCCCAUAGACUGAGCCUAAAUUAAUUUUAAUUGAUUAAUAUGGUUUCUACAAUAUUCAACUUUAGAAAAUUUUGCAAGGUCCUGAGGCCGUGAUGUCUUCUAGAACUCUGUAGUGUAAAAUAAAAGGUAAUUAUGCAGCCCCAUUUAUACUCUUCAGUCACUGUGGUCAUAAUUUGGAUGACUGCCAACAUGAUCUCAAACUGAAUUAAAUCACUUUCUCUUUGAUAUUAAAGUUCCAGAUGUUAAAUAGCUGUGAGCUGUCUGUUUCACAAUGAAAAUCUAAUUUGUCUAGUUAUGGAACAUAUUUCAUAAUUAGCAAUUGUACACAACACUUUUUAUCCUUGUAUCUCAAAUUAUUUUACAAACAUCUAUUACUGAAGCUACAAAUCUUAGAUAACGCACCCAUUACCCUCCCACACAGUUAGUAAUGAAAAAGACAGGAAUAAAACACAGAGGACAUUCACUGUCCUUGUCAAUAGCCUUUCUAAUUUCUAAUAUUUUACUUCUGUUUCCUUUUGGUUUCAAAUUUCAAUGACAGGGAGCCUUUCUCUUCAACUAUGAGAGGAGGAAAAAGUUAAACCUGAGUCAUCUCUCAGCUUUUCAUCUGUUAUAAACUAAUAAAUAUGGCAGCUUGACACAGUGCUAAAGGUCAUCUCAGGCCCCUUGAGCCAUGGAGGAAUCAUGCCCUGAGGUGGAGUCUGUGGAUUGGGGUGUAGGACGUGACCUGCAUCCUUUGACAGUAAAUGCGGCAGGAGCAGGCGAGAGUGUGGUGGAUGCACCACCAUCCUGAGAAGGUGUGUGUGUGGAGCGGAUGGGGAAAGAGAUCACACAGAAGCUGAGAACAGAGCAAGAAGGAGAGGGAAGAAAUCCAAGCAGGAGCCUGUAAGAACAGUGUGACCCUGGAAAAAGAUGGCACAUCUGAAGAACUGAGAGGUAAAGUGGAAUGCCCAACGUGACACAGCAAGUCAGUGACAAAGCAUGAAACAGAACCUAGAUACUGACUCCUGGUUCUGAAUCUUAAUCAGAAACACGUAUUUCCUGUCCCCGCAUCUGAUUCCUUAUUUUGAGGUACUGUGCUUUAUUGCCAGCUACAGGGCUAAAUCUUAGUUUUACUAAGGCUCCAAUAUUUCAUCAAGAUCCACCAGCACAAACCCAUCCUUGUGGAGCGCCAUUGAGAUCAAUGGGACUCUGUAGGGGUGUGAGCUGGCAGAUCCCAAAGCAGGCCUAAGUACUUCAAUUCUGAUUCAGUCCUUAGCUCAAAUGCCCAUUGACUGCAAUGGAUGAUUUGCUUGAAUAAAGAAUGUUAUUAAAACUGGGCAGGGACAUAAAGAUUUUAACCCAGUGAGGGAAGAGAGAAUGCAAUCAUCUCGUCAAUUUUAAGUGUCUUAUUUGAUUAUAAACUCAACUUCCAGAGCUGACACAGAGAUUUUAAUAUGUAAUGCGUAACUUUCAAAUAUAGUGGAAAACCCUUAAUUUGGAUACUCAGAUCAGCGGUUAGGUACAUAAUGAAUGAUUUUUAAAUUAAUCUACAUAAAAUAAGGAAUCUGGAUAUCCUAUAAGCAGGGUUUAAAGUAGACUGAAAAGGAGUGGGAGCUCUCAUCACCACCAAGGAGGAGGGGAAUCUGUAGGGGAGCGGCUUAAGUAAGACAGGAAGAAGAGGGGAAGCUCUCCCACUUCUUUCAGCAGAGAAGAGCGGAGCUGUGCCUCCACCACUUCUGCUCCGUUCUUACUUUCUCCCCUCCGUGUAAGGUAUUAAUAUUUGAAAAACGGGCCAGAAUGUUAGUUUUAUAGUGAAUGUGGGUGUCAGGGAUUUGAGGCUGCACUGCCAUCAUUAAGCUGAUGACACUUGUCUCGCAUCUGUUUCAUCAUACCCCAAAUAUAUGCAGUCAUCUACUUUCUCAGAAAAUGAUUUAAAACAGAGACAUAAAGACAGAUGAGUGACUGAAGUUAAUCUAGACAAGACAGAUGAUCUUGUAAGAGUAUUUUUGUAGAAAAUUAGUGGAGUUGUGUCUGCUUUGAGGGGUUGAAGGUUGUUCCAACUAGGAGGAGAAAUUGGUGAGUCGGGUAUUUCUUUGGUGUAAUUUUGUUUAUUUAGCAAAAAUGUACAAAGUCCCUGCUUCCUGAAUGCAGGAGGAAUUAAACAAUGGGAGACUGUGUCCUUGUUCACAGGUCCAAACCUCUUUCAGCUGGCACCCUAACCACACAGCCUGCUUCAGGCUGUUUCUGCUUGGCUUUCUUUUUGCUUCUGUCUCUCUGCAUUGCUUCUCAUUAACACACACCCCCCUCUAUACCCCAAAAAACCUAGCUAAGCCUCUGCCCACAUAGUUCAAAUGCCUGCGUGGUCUUGGAUGUGCCUCUGUUUUGGUUAGAGAUGUGGACUGGUCUUUGUGGUGGUGGAGGCCACUUGACCCUUUCAGCCACCAGAUUUUAACGGCUUUCUUCUAUAUUUAUCUUGAAUGUAACGUGACAGUUACGGCUGACAGACAGCAACAAGGUGUAAACCACUCCACAAAUAGUAUGCUUCAAAGUCUAUUUCUAGCUUUUUGCUUCGGUUUGUAAAAUCUGUGUGUCUACCUUGAGACUACCUCUAACAAACUGUUGUCAGCUGAGGUGCUUUUAUGGAGCCCCAAGAUUUUAAUUCUGGGAUAUUAGGAGCAGGGCAUUUUUGGUGGACGUUCCGUGUCUUUACGAUUUGCUCCUAUGGUGGUUGAGCAAAGCCUGUGUUUGCUGACAUGCAGGUCAAAGUGAAAGAACCAACUGUUUAGCUAGCUUCAGCCAUGAGGUAGUUUUGGAUAUAAGAGGGCAUCAUGUAUAUACAACAGUCAUUUAUGGGGGUGGUCUGAACUUUCCUCCCCAUUGCAAAAAGAAAAGGAGUACUUGUGGCACCUUAGAGACUAACCAAUUAUUUGAGCAUAAGCUUUCGUGAGCUACAGCUCACUCUUCAUCUGCAUCCG